rnacentral:rRNA from 1 species
AUGCUCGUGGAGAUCCUCCACCGCCUCCCGCCGGAGCCGAUCCACCUCUUCCGCGCCUCCUUCGUCUGCAAGCACUGGCGCGGCCUCGUCCACGACGCCCGCUUCCUCCGCCUCUUCCGCGAGUUCCACGGCGGGACGCCUCCCGUGCUCGGCUUCUUCAGCAACCAGCCGAGAUCUCCCCUCUUCGUACCCAGCUCCGACGCCUUCGCCGUCCCCGCUGCGGCCACGAUGCGCAAGGACGACUGGUUGGCCCUGGACUGCCACCACGGCCGCGCCCUCCUCCUCGACCGACGAGACGGGAAGCUCCUCGUUUGGAACCCCAUGAACGGCGACAAGCGCUACCUGCCGCUCCCCACGCAGGCGCAUCUGGAGAACGAGUACACUGGCGCGGUUCUCUGCGCGGCUGGGCACGCCGAGCACGGCGACUGUCAUUCGUGCCCGUUCCUCGUGGCGUUGACGUUCGGCAGUUGGGGGGAUUUCAUCACCUCCGCCUGCGUCUACUCACCCAAGACUGGCGUCUGGGGUGAGAUCACUCCGAUUCAUACAAAUUCAAUGGUUGAUUUAAAGCCGGCGGCUCAUGUUGGAAACACGCUUUACUGGCGAUUGGAUGAUGACAGCAUCGUUGAAUUUGAUUUGGAUAAAAAUAGCCUGGAUUUAAUUGAGUUGCCAGAUGACGGAUUUGGUAUAAUCAUGCUAGCAGAGGAUGGUUGUCUAGGUUUUGCCCGUCUUGAUCGAUUCAGCCUUCAUUUGUGGUCAAGGGUAGCUAGCAUCGAUGGGGUGGUAUCAUGGACGCAUCGCAGGGUCAUUGAAGCUUCUUGCGCCACAAGUAGUGGCAGCAUGUAUGGAUCGAGUGGGGCUAGCUGGCUAUGCUGA